CCUACGGGUGGCAGCAGUGGGGAAUAUUGCACAAUGGGGGAAACCCUGAUGCAGCGACGCCGCGUGAGUGACGAAGUACUUCGGUACGUAAAGCUCUAUCAGCAGGGAAGAAAAUGACGGUACCUGACUAAGAAGCCCUGGCCAACUACGUGCCAGCCGCCGCGGUAAUACGGCGGGGGCAAGCGUUAUCCGGAUUUACUGGGUGUAAAGGGAGCGUAGACGGGGGGGCAAGUCUGGAGUGAAAGGCCAGAGCUCAACCACAGAACGGCUUGGGAAACUGUACAACUAGAGUGCGGGAGAGGUAAGAGGAAUUCCUGGUGUAGCGGUGAAAUGCGUAGAUAUUAGGAGGAACACCGGGGGCGAAGGCGGCUUACUGGACGGAAACUGACGUUGAGGCUCGAAAGCGUGGGGAGCAAACAGGAUUAGAUACCCUGGUAGUC
rnacentral:rRNA from 1 species